AGUGAACGCUGGCGGUAGGCCUAACACAUGCAAGUCGAACGGCAGCACAGUAAGAGCUUGCUCUUACGGGUGGCGAGUGGCGGACGGGUGAGGAAUACAUCGGAAUCUACUUUUUCGUGGGGGAUAACGUAGGGAAACUUACGCUAAUACCGCAUACGACCUACGGGUGAAAGCAGGGGAUCUUCGGACCUUGCGCGAUUGAAUGAGCCGAUGUCGGAUUAGCUCGUUGGCGGGGUAAAGGCCCACCAAGGCGACGAUCCGUAGCUGGUCUGAGAGGAUGAUGAACCACACUGGAACUGCGACAAGGUCCCGAAUCCUACGGGAGGCAGCAGUGGGGAAUAUUGGACAAAGGGGGGAAGCAUGAUCCAGCCGUACCGCGGGGGGGAAGAAGGCCUUCGGGUUGUAAAGCCCUUUUGUUGGGAAAGAAAAGCAGCAGGUUAAUACCCCGCUGUUCUGACGGUACCCAAAGAAGAAGCACCGGCUAACUUCGUG
rnacentral:rRNA from 1 species